UAAAGAAAGCGUAAUAGCUCACUGGUCGAGUCGGCCUGCGCGGAAGAUGUAACGGGGCUAAACCAUGCACCGAAGCUGCGGCAGCGACACUAUGUGUUGUUGGGUAGGGGAGCGUUCUGUAAGCCUGCGAAGGUGUGCUGUGAGGCAUGCUGGAGGUAUCAGAAGUGCGAAUGCUGACAUAAGUAACGAUAAAGCGGGUGAAAAGCCCGCUCGCCGGAAGAC
rnacentral:rRNA from 1 species